GGGUGUGCCAGAGUGGUUAGUGGGCUGCUGGACAUGGAGGGCAGGGAGGCUGCAGCAGCAGCGGAGAAGGUGGCAGUGCGGACCCCAAAAUGCUCCCGCUGCCGCAACCAUGGCUUCGUGGUGCCGGUGAAAGGCCACGCCGGCCAGUGCCGCUGGAAGCUCUGCCUCUGCGACAAGUGCUCUCUCAUCGCCGAGCGCCAGAAGAUCAUGGCAGCCCAGAAGGCGCUGUGGCAGCAGGUGCCCGAUGCCCCUGUCAGGGUGGCUGUGGGCUCCGCUCCCCCAGGGGAAGACGUCGCGGCCAGCGCCUCUGAGCAGAGCAGCCACGUGGGGGCGAAGGGCGGCCAGCCCCCCGGCGGCAGUGACAAAGGCACGGCACGCAGGGGUCUGCCUCCACCUCCUGCUGGCCCUCCUUUUUGGGACUACGCUCACUCUGCUUUUCCUCCAGAAUACGUGGUCAACUCAGAAUACAUGGAGAGAGACCCUGCAAGAGUGUAUCCUGGCUGUUCUGGGAUGUAUCCUUACCACCCAUUUCCCGUGGGAUUUGCCAUCAAUCAGCCAGGCUGUAGGGGAGCACCAUCACCUCCAGGGAUAUCACUUCAGAAGGGUUUCCGACCCGUUCCAAGCAACUGUGGACCAGGGAAUGCAGCUUCUUUGUCAAUUCCAGAUGGAGGUGGAGAUUUCCAUCAGGCGUACUACACUCCUCUGCCUCAGUUCAUCCCACCAAGUUUUCUGCCAGGGGUUCAUUACAUUCCACCUCCCCUGUCGCUGAAUGUGUUUGCUGAAGCAGCCAAGGAAGCACACGGUAAGGAAUUAUGAGAUGAGCCUUGGGAGAGCCAAUUUUAAUCUGGUGUCAGUACCUCAACACUGAGAUGGACGCUCCAAGAAACCUUGAUUCUAGCUUCAGUUUUCAGGGUUUCCCAGAUCCCUGUGAUGGAGCUGAGAUCCUGAAGGCCCAGGGCAGACUGCCAGCUUGAGCAGCUCACUUAGCAUGAGCAGUGUGAAACUUCUUGCACAUCUGGAAAUCCUACAUUUUAAUUGCCGUACAUGAAAGAUUGAAUCUUCAAGAUCUCAAAUUGUUUAGACUGAAUCUCACAAGAUUUUAAAUUUCUGGCUAGGUGAAUACGUAUGACCUUCUCUUUUGGGUCUUUUUCAUGUCUAGUGCCUCUAUGUGGACAUAGUUGUGGUAAUAUCUGUAAGCUGUUCACUUGGCUGCAGCUAGCUGUGACCACAAGAGGGUAGAGCUGCUCAGAGAAUUAACCACUAGCGCUGGAUGAGUCAAUAGCCAGCUCAUUUUAAGUUCUUUUUGAAAAUGCAGAUAAAUAAGUACAACUUCAUUUCUCUUCUUGAACAUGAGAGUAAGAAAUUGUAGAUCCAACUGUUUACCACACAGAUUAUAAUCAUCAACCAAUGAAAAAAUAAAUACUGUCUAUAAAAGGGAGGGAAAGCAGACUGGUUUUCUCAUUUGAAUUAAAAUGAUGUUGAUAGCGAUUACAUGGGAUAAAACAUAAGUUGAGGGGGUUUGGGCCUGACUUCUCACAAAAUAAGUCUUGUGCAGACUCAUUUUUGUUCAACCAGUAUCCUCAUAACUUUUCAAGCCAUUAGUUAUUUUCAGCCAAACAUAGCUGCUGUGUUCAGAGGCCUACACAGUAGUGAUCUGCAGGGGAAGCAUGUGCCUCCCACAGAAUCAUUUGUUUGCAACCAUGACGUGAUGUGGUGUUUGGCUAGCAGUCAGCUUGCACUCCGUUCCUGACUGACCUGUGUGUACCUUGGCCAACAACCAAGUGCCUGCCAGUCAGCCCAGCAGUGGGCACGUAUCUCCCAAGCAGUUUGCUUCGUGUCUGGCUGGAAAGCCAAGGAAAAGUUAGCAAGAGAAGUAGUGGAUGAGGAGAAUGUGAAUAUGGAAGCAUCAGGGGUGUAUAGACAUCAUGUAACUCUGAAGAUAUUCUAGGAUACCUAGAAAGGUAUCAGUCAACUUCAGUGCAGUGUGUAGAAGAUACUGGGCUGAUGGAGGUAAAAUAAUAUGGGCUGAGUUUGAGGAGAAGAGGUAAAGCUGAGAGCUGGCAGACAAAGCAGAAAUUGUAUCUGAAGAUCAGUGAGUUUUGUGGUUUAGUGGAAACAAGAAAUCUGGGGGAUACUUGCAGUGGCAGAGAACUUGUAGCUGUUCUGGGGUGUGUGGGAAAGGGAAGGAACUGGGAGUAGCAGGUAAACACAGGGAACCUGGAGAGAAAUAGUGGCAUUGCAUGUGGGAAACAUGCAGGAGGAAAUGCAGACCUGUAUUGGUAGAGUAAAGCUUUACUGGCCAAACAAUUGUGAAAACAGGCAACUGGGAUAGAGAAGAGAGGUCAUGAGAGCACCCCCCUGGAGAGCAAAAUGCCAUCUAAUGACCUCAGUCUUAUUACUCACUAGGGAAAUUACAACCCAGGCACAAAGCCAUAGGAAACAAUGCAUCAUGGAUUAUGCUGUUCAGAGAACAAAAUAGUUUUCUUAGUACCAGGGAGAAAGUACAAAUUAAUUCCACUACAUAGUAUUUCUGCUCCAGGAUAUGUAAGAGCUUGCAAUUGUGACCCAGUGAAGGAGAUGUUUCUGCAUGAGGUCAUAAACAAAAUAGCCUUCCAGCAAAAGAUACAGAUGAAGAGGGGAGCUACAGUGAAUCUAAUAAUUCAUUGAUUCUGGUUUUCAAGAUACCUGAAAAAAAGAGAAAAACUGUAACAUUAAGCUGUAUUGACUAGUCACGUUACAGAGAUUAGACAAACAGAAGGUUUGUCCAGCAAAACAGCCAGUACAAUAUUUGAGGAUAGAGUCUGAUUGCAAGUUGUUGACUUUGUAAAAGAGCAAGCCACAGAAAAAUGAAGAAAAAACCAACGUCUCCACAUGAGAAGAUGAGGGAGAUUUACGUGAAAAUUGGCAAGUAAAACAAACCUGCAUUUAAAAAAAAAAAACUAGCCAGAUUAGAAGAGACUAUUAGUCAGUCAGUGAAGGCUUUUAAAAUUCACAGCAGUGUUUGAAAGUCAUGGUGUAGAUUCACUGUAGCUAAGUGGGCAGAAGAGCCUGUCUCAUACUUCUAUUUCAGUGCAGCUUCUGUAUUUGCCAUCUUGAAACGAGCAUUCUUGCUACUUUCCUUAAGCAUAGCUGAAACAGUCAAGUGCUGUCUGAAGUACAAUAUCUCAGUCUGGAGAGCUGCAGCUCUUGAUGUUAAGCACUUUCGAAUUAACUGCACUGAAAAACAAACUGGAUUUACAAGAAGCUAUUUUGCAUUGGAAGUGUGACUGAUACGUGAAAGGCAAAUUGAAAUACAGGGAUUUGGGUGGGAUUUUUUGUUUGUUUGCAUUUAACUCCAACCUUUUUCUAUUUUUUUUUUUCAGGUACUACAGCUGACAGCCAGGAUUCAGGGAUGGUUUGUGAACCUAGCCAACCAUCUUCCCCAGAAGAAGCAAGCAGAGACCAAUCUGUAUGUUCUAAACAGUAAAUGGUCUGGAGAAAAGCUGAA